ACAAUGGCAUUUUUAAAUUCUCUAUAAAAAAUCUCUUGAGAUGCGCAGAUGGUGGUGGCUUUAGCCGCCUUCGCCAUCAGUUAUGGAGAGUUCUAGCUAGUGGAGGAAUUCUACCAAACACACCCUUUGGCCAUGUCCAUAACGCUACUGAAGCAAUUACCCAACAUAUUUGAACAAUCAAAGAAAUUGAGGCCCAAGUUUAAAGCACUAUGGAGACUUAUCAAAGCUAUGUUGAAUGUGACCAAGUGCAUCAUCCAAUCCUCAUUACAUCUCCCCUGACCAACCAUCCAUUGAGCUGACCUUUUUUUUUUUUUUUUAAAUGAUCUAAGGCACAAGUAAAUGAAUUUGAAUCUCUGCAAUUGGCUGUUACAAUUACAGAUCGAUUCCAUUGACCACCAAAGCGGAUGAGUUGUCUAGCUUAACACAAAAGGUCAACAAUAUACAUGAAAAUCUGACUGGAGUUUUGAAAUUCCGAUUAUAGUAGACGAGGGUCGAGGGUUAUGGAGGUGGAUGAGAACGAUUUGAAGGCUGCCGGGGGUGGAGAUCCCACCCGAGGGACGAUACGGAAUGAGAUUCCGUGGUUGGGAAACCGAAUUUCGCAAACGAUCUAUCCUCAAUUACGUCGCCCUUCCGCUUUGUGAAGAAAAGCUUCAGACAUCACACUUACCAGAGAUGGAAGGUUUACCUCCAGUUUGAGUCCCUGCAGCAGCAAAAUCGAAAUCCAGAAGCAACCCAUCUCAGCAUGUGAUACUUAGACUACGAUUAUGCAUUCCCAACUCCAUAUUGUGGAAGUGAAACGGUUGAAAUAAUCCAACACCAGGUUGGUCCUCUUCUAUUUGUGAAGUAAUUUGAAAGUUAAUAUAUCAAGUACUCUGUAGAUCAGUGGUUUCAUAGAAUUUAUUCAUCUUGCUUUUUAAGUUUCAAUCUAUUUUGUUUUUUUUUUUAAAUUAAUAUAUUAGUUAAUUUCUUGUCUA